CUUGCUUCUGCAGUUGGUGAGAUAGCAAUGGCUUUCUCUCAAGGCUCUUCAAUAAGCCAAUAGUGCUGGGAAGAAUAUGGAAGUAGUUUGUCGGUUAGUGCCUGAUGGGUGCCUUUAUUUCAUGAAAUAGUGCUUGUUAUUCACGACAGGAGCACAGCAUGAGCAUGUGCAGUUACUGGGUCAUUUCUUAUGGUGGAAGGCACACAGGGUUUGCAGUGUGUUUCACUGUAAUCUGACAACUGCACAUGAAUGAAAUGAUUGCUGGAUUUUGGCAGCAAAAUUCUAAUCUUUGACCCAUCUGAACACAGUAUAACCGAAGAGACAGAC